CCUACGGGUGGCAGCAGUGGGGAAUAUUGGGCAAUGGGCGCAAGCCUGACCCAGCAACGCCGCGUGAACGAAGAAGGCUUUCGGGUUGUAAACUUCUUUUCUCAGGGACGAAGCAAGUGACGGUACCCGAAGAAUAACCCACGGCUAACUACGCGCCAGCAGCCGCGGUAAUACGGAGGUGGCAAGUGUUAUCCGGAUUUACUGGGUGUAAAGGUCGUGUAGGGGGGAAAGCAAGUCAGAUGUGAAAACCAUGGGCUCAACCUGUGGCCUGCAUUUGAAACUGGUUUUCUUGAGUGCUGGAGAGGCAGACGGAAUUCCUAGUGUAGCGGUGAAAUGCGUAGAUAUUAGGAGGAACACCAGUGGCGAAGGCGGUCUGCUGGACAGUAACUGACGCUGAGGCGCGAAAGCGUGGGGAGCAAACAGGAUUAGAUACCCGAGUAGUC
rnacentral:rRNA from 1 species